UCACAUGAGGGAAAGCUGAAAGACGGUUUCGGCUGUCACUUACAGAUGGGCCCGCGGCGCAUUAGCUAGUUGGUGAGGUAACGGCUCACCAAGGCAACGAUGCGUAGCCGACCUGAGAGGGUGAUCGGCCACACUGGGACUGAGACACGGCCCAGACUCCUACGGGAGGCAGCAGUAGGGAAUCUUCCGCAAUGGACGAAAGUCUGACGGAGCAACGCCGCGUGAACGAUGAAGGCUUUCGGGUCGUAAAGUUCUGUUGUUAGGGAAGAACAAGUACCGGAGUAACUGCCGGUACCUUGACGGUACCUAACCAGAAAGCCACGGCUAACUACGUGCCAGCAGCCGCGGUAAUACGUAGGUGGCAAGCGUUGUCCGGAAUUAUUGGGCGUAAAGCGCGCGCAGGCGGUUCCUUAAGUCUGAUGUGAAAGCCCCCGGCUCAACCGGGGAGGGUCAUUGGAAACUGGGGAACUUGAGUGCAGAAGAGGAGAGCGGAAUUCCACGUGUAGCGGUGAAAUGCGUAGAGAUGUGGAGGAACACCAGUGGCGAAGGCGGCUCUCUGGUCUGUAACUGACGCUGAGGCGCGAAAGCGUGGGGAGCGAACAGGAUUAGAUACCCUGGUAGUCCACGCCGUAAACGAUGAGUGCUAAGUGUUUAAAGGGUUUCCGCCCCUUUAGUGCUGCAGCAAACGCAUUAAGCACUCCGCCCGGGGGAGUACGGCCGCAAGGCUGAAACUCAAAGGAAAUUGACGGGGGGCCCGCACAAGCGGUGGAACCAUG
rnacentral:rRNA from 1 species